ACAACCCAUGCAUGGAAUUUCUCUGCUCUCACAUCAUAGAGAGCAAACAGCCAAGUGGCCCAUGGUCAGCCUAGAGAACAACUGUACACAGUUUCAAUUGCAGAAGUCUUCUUGAGCCCAAACCAGAAAACUGUCUGGCAGAAAAGUUCUUCAUAGAAGUUAGUAAUGUUUUAAGAAAUCUCUGAUGAGCAUAUCAAAUAGACAAAUGGACAUCUGAAAGUAUGAAAAUGCUGUAAAGCCAAGACUUCAUGUACUUAUUUUGAAGAUGAAAAAUGAAUCUAAGAAUGAAAGUACCACUGCAGGUCACCAGUUCAUAAAUUACUCCUGUUCAACCUGAAGGAAGAGCUAUGAAGGACAGCCACCUUACAAUCCCAUAAAAGCCUUACCUGAAGAGCAUGUGGCUAUUUCUCACAGAUUUUUAAAGAGUGGUUCUCAAAAUAAGCCAAGAAAUGCCAUGGCCCAUCCCAUAUGUGUACACUCUAAUGAAUCAGAUACUUCAAAUGUAGUAUUCAGUGAUGGGGAUAGAAGCGUUAAGAAAGGUAAAGUUGGAAAGGAGAACAACACAGCAGCAGCACAUAUUCUGAUUUACCUGCCCUUCAUAUGCCCUGUGGGAAUAUCUCCAAUGAAAACUCUACUAUGCAGGAAGCAAGCAAACUGCACCUGUUCUACAACCAACAAGGAUCAGAAUCUAAAUUUUCCAACAAUGCACAUAAAUACAAGUUCCAUCAUUUAAAGAAAGUGCUUACUCUUGAGCUUAAGUAUUAAAAUAUUAUGAUGAGAAAAAUCUGCCUUAGCAAAGUGAUACCAAAAAAGUCACAAAGCAAUUACAAGAAAAAUUGACAAUGUAAAAGUCUCUUACCAGUCAAUCAAUUUCAGGCAGCAAAUUUGGCACAUGCACAUUUUUUACAUUAUUUACCAGAUUCC